rnacentral:rRNA from 1 species
CUGCUGGAGAAGCACAAUCUGAAAACACACCAGUAUAUGACAAAUCUAUUUGAGAUCAGAGAAAAAUGGGCAAAGUCGUACUUCAAGGGUGUGUUCUGCGCCAAGAUGACGAGCACACAGCGGAGCGAGAGUGCGAACCAUAUGCUGAAGAGCUACGUGCCUCCGGGUUCUCCGAUGCACAAGUUCGUGAGGUAAUACAUGAGGUUGCAGUUUGACCGUGCAUCGGACGAAAGUUACGAGGAAAAGCGAACGAAGCUGGUAAGUUAG